GGAAAAGAAACCAACCGGGAUUGCCUUAGUAACGGCGAGUGAAGCGGCAAAAGCUCAAAUUUGAAAUCUGGUACCUUCGGUGCCCGAGUACGUAAUUUGGAGAGGGCAACUUUGGGGCCGUUCCUUGUCUAUGUUCCUUGGAACAGGACGUCAUAGAGGGUGAGAAUCCCGUGUGGCGAGGAGUGCGGUUCUUUGUAAAGUGCCUUCGAAGAGUCGAGUUGUUUGGGAAUGCAGCUCUAAGUGGGUGGUAAAUUCCAUCUAAAGCUAAAUAUUGGCGAGAGACCGAUAGCGAACAAGUACAGUGAUGGAAAGAUGAAAAGAACUUUGAAAAGAGAGUGAAAAAGUACGUGAAAUUGCUGAAAGGAAAGGGCAUUUGAUCAGACAUGGUGUUUUGUGCCCUCUGCUCCUUGUGGGUAGGGGAA
rnacentral:rRNA from 1 species